rnacentral:rRNA from 1 species
UACAGGGGGUGCAAACGUUGCUCGGAAUCAUUGGGCGUAAAGCGCACGUAGGCGGUCUGUUAUGUCGGAUGUGAAGGCCCUCGGCUUAACUGAGGAAGUGCAUCCGAAACUGGCAGGCUAGAGUACCAAAGAGGGUCGCGGAAUUCCCGGUGUAGAGGUGAAAUUCGUAGAUAUCGGGAGGAACACCGGUGGCGAAGGCGGCGACCUGGGUGGGAUACUGACGCUGAGGUGCGAAAGCGUGGGGAGCAAACAGG